rnacentral:rRNA from 1 species
AAGACGGCCCUACGGGUUGUAAACUGCUUUUAUACGGGAAUAAACCUACUUACGUGUAAGUAGCUGAAUGUACUGUAAGAAUAAGGAUCGGCUAACUCCGUGC